rfam:Medicago truncatula strain A17 chromosome 5, whole genome shotgun sequence.
CCCAUAAGUAAUAAAAAGUCUGUUUCGGUCCCUUAACUUUAUUUAAAGUAUCGGUUUGGUCCUUUCUGUUAAUUUAAUUCAAAAAAAUGUUAAAUUUAGGGACCAAACUAAUACUAAUUAAAUAAGUUAAGGAACCAAACUAAUACUAAUUAAAUAAGUUAAGGGACCAAAAAUUUAACAUUUUUUUGAAUUAAAUUAACAGAAGGGACCAAACCGUUACUUUAACUAAAGUUAAGGGACCAAAACAGACAUUUUAUUACUUAAGGGA